GGGCAUCUCUGUGAGAAUCCUGGGUCAAACGUCACUCAAGGCUCAAAGGCUAGUAGUGAUAAUGAGCUCUAUUGAGCAGCACCAGGUCCAGCCAACAUGCAUUGGAGGUGUACUGGGAGGUCGUACUGGGAGGUCGUACUGGGAGGUAUACUGAGAGGUCGUACUGGGAGGUUGUACUGGGAAGUGUACUGGGAGGUUGUGCUGGGAGCAUCGUACAGUCAUUUAGGAUGGGAGGGUAAGGAGGGACUUUGGGGGGAGACCAAGAUGGCCUUGUCAGCUAAGGUCAAUAAAGCCCUCCAACUUAGGGUUACCAUAUUUGGUGAGACGAAAAAGAGGAUGUGUCCAAGGAUCAGAAUAUUAAUGAGUUUUCACGGGUAGUGAUUCUCACAUGAAUAUUAAUGAGUUUUCCCUAACCAUGCGCAUGCCAUUUCAGUUAAAUGUUACUUUACAGUCUACACACAAUUGACAUAAUAUAUGUGUAUCCAAGUCUUUUUCAACAAAAGUUACAAAAUGCUAACCUAAAGUUUGUUAAACUUCAAGCAAAUCACAAGAUUCAAAAUUCACAUGAAAACAGAAAUUAAGUCUCAAAGUGCCGCUGGUUUCUAGAAGUUGCCGUCACUUGUGAGCAGUGUGACAUGUAGGGAUGUGGAUAUCGUUUAAUCUUUAAAGUAAACGUGUGCACGGGCCUUGCAGACGCUGUGUGGUGAUCCCGAGCGGCCGCUGUAUGUUGAAGGAAGGUGCCUCCACUGUAACUUGCAACACUCGGUCAUACGGGUUGCAGCAGUAAACCCGAUACAAACCGUCGAUUUUUGAAAAACCACCCAGAAACCCAGAGAGAGGCCCAAAAAGAGGACAUGUCCGGACGUAUGGUAACCCUGCGCCCACCCUACUGCCACCCCCACCCCCUCAUGUCCGCCAUAUCCAAACAAAGACAUCAUUGCAGGCAUUGGCACUCCGAGACUCUGAAGCAUCGCAGUGGGAUUUUCUACAUCCAGCCUGCCAUACUGCUGUGAGGGAGACAGUGACUUUGUGGGUUUCAGUGGAAGCUCCGCCCAUCAGUGCCGUUAGCACUGUUAGCUCUGAGAACCACUGCGUCGCUCAUUGAUGAUGUCAGAUCAGGCACUCAGGCCUAUAGGUUGGGAGAUCCCGGUCUAGGCUGUGGGCGUUCCGUCUCUCACCUCCUUGCCCCCCCCCUUCGUCUCCUCUCGGCUUGUGAACCCCGCUGGGCGGAUUCCGGGUGUCACCGUGAUGCUGAUGGUAUUUUUCGUGUUGUGCCCCGUCCU